GUUGUGGUACAUGUAGGUACCAAUGACAUGGGGAAGGACAGGAGAGAGGUCCUGGAGGCCAAAUUUAGGCUGCUAGGUAAGAGAUCAAAGACCAGGACCUCCAUGGGAGCAUUCUCUGAAAUGCUCCCAGUUCCACGUGCAGGGCCAGUUAGACAGGCAGAACUGCAGGGUCUCAAUGCGUGGGGGAUUAGAUGAUGGUGUA